UUCACAGAACCAGAAUACACGUUUUGAUGUCCAUCCAGCAGAAGGUGAAAACCCUAGUAGUAAAAUUCAAGGUUUUGAGAUCAUAACCACCAGCAAUAGCAAGGGUUACGACAUGGAAGGAUCUGAUCUAAGAGAAAUUGUUAAAUAUAAGUUGUUGUUAGUAAAGACUCGGGUGAUUCAGAAGAUGAAGGCUAAGAAGAAGAAGAAAAUGCAUGAUUUACGCUGGAUUGUCGGUAUGUGCGGAUUCGUGAAUGCUGGUUUCACUUACUCAUCAUUUAUCGGUGAAAAUUGGUUGAGAUCAUGCUUUGGAUGUGCGUAUACAGUGUUGGAUUAAUAAAACCUUGCACAUCGAAUGAAAGUUUUCUCCUACGCUGAGAAAUCAUCCAUUUUUGGUGUAGGAUUGGUAGGUAUACUCAGGGUCUUGUCUCACAUAAUUUUGGAUGUUGAUCUGAAAAGGAUCGCUGUUGUAGAAGUAAUUUUUUUUUAUCAGGCUUGGAGAUCCUCAAUUGUCAUGCUCAAUCACUAUCAGGUUUUUGUUGAAGUCUUUGAAGAGUACAAGUUGUACAACCUGGUGACCGUGUUCUUGUCAAACUAUGUAUGGACACAAAUGAGGACAUGCUGAAGGGAAAUGAGUUGGCUGAUGCUCAAUCAAAUUCAACUUGUGAGUUUGGUUCUCUGUUUGGCUUGUACAACAUGGAAAAGUUGUUGCUGUGGGAAAAAUAGAAACCGGCACUAUCAGAGUAGGAGAUGAUUUAGUGGUUCUUUCCUGUCACGAGAGAAGAGAAUUGGCCAUAUAAGUGUCCAGAACAUGAUAUACACAAUAUCAGCAGUUCAACUGGAAAGACCAUUUAGAUGAGCAGGGAGGAUAAGGAAUGGUUGUGGCCUAUGUCGGCUUAACUUCAGGAUUUUAUUUUUGUACUAGAUGAACGUUAUACAAAAAGCUACCUUAUCUAUUGCAUCUGGUAUACAUCGGAACAAGACAACCAAUUGGAAAAGACAUAAGCAUACACCCCACGAUGCGUCUGGCAGAUACAACCCAAUGCGUUAACCGACAGAGAGUGGAGGGAUUUUGUUAAAUUUUGGACUAUAAAAGAGAAUCAGGUACUCUUUGGUCGCAAUAUCAUUAAGAGCUGAAGCCAUCAAAAGCCAAGCAUACAAUGGGGAGGAAAAACUUUUAUCUGAAUUGCUAUUUGAGUUUCGAGUCUUCGCAGUGAAGUUCAUCCACCUUUUGAUUAGGAAGAUUCUGAUGUAACAGCUUAAUAUCCAAAAAUAUUAUAUUAUUCUGAGGUAAAUGCAACCAGUGGUGAAUAUUCAGUUGUUUGUACUAUACAGUAGCACUUCUAAAAUCUGAUCAGAGUAUGAAGAGUGGAACUAUGGAGUCUGGUGUGCCUGCAACUAGGGUCACGGGAAGGAAUCGAUACCUUACUAUGAUAUAGGAUUUUAGACAUAAACACUGAGGAUCUUUUCGUGUCUGUGUUUCCACUGGCACUUGUAAGACGUAGAUAUAAAGCUCCAAGCAGAUCUCUUUUAUGCAGAAGGAGAACCUAUUCUCGCAUGCGGUUACAAAAGGCAAAACAUUUUCUUUGUUCGCUAAAUGAUCGUAAAAUAUUGGUUCAGGUUAUGAAAUGAUUGAACAAGAAAGGCCAGAGUACGGGUUUGUCUUGCCAAUCUACAAAAUGUGACUUAUAAUCACCUAUUUGUGGUUCAUGUUGCUAAUGUGGCUUACUACUAUGUAUUAGGUACUCAGGGUUGUGACCAAUUCUGUUUACUUUACAAGCUUGUGGGUAUCAGCAUUUUGAAUUUAAUCAUUAAUCGACACUCUUUAACUUUUUCAUUUAGAGGACAAUGCAGCUGAGAUUUCCGCUCAAACUCAUGUGAUUCAAUUUUGAGACAAAGGUUUUUGUUUUCUCCACUCUUUAACUUCACACUUUCUUACCAACUGGUGCCCUUAUCACCUUGGUACAUGGGAAAUACUGAAGCAACAGCAUAGGACAGGUGGAAGAUAUUUAAGGAGGUGUCCUAAACCCUAACCUUACGUAUAAAACGGAAGAGCUUGGAAGAGAGAGAGAGUGUUUUUUUCUUAAUAGCCUGCCUCUCCUUCAAACAUGAGUAUGAAAUGUUCAAGAAAUGAGCAGAUAGAUGAGAGUUAUCACAGGUAGUAAAACAAGAUGAUGAAACAAAAAGAAGGUGUUGGAAGAAAAGUUACUGGUAGAUCUAAAGUUGGCUGGAUUGUUGCUAAAGGAAAAGAAGAAAACAAAAGAAAUGGGUUGGUUAUUUAGUGAUGGUACGUGCGGAUUCGGAAAAAUUAAAAAUUUAAUCUUGAAGAAAGGAGUUUGUGCUCCUACUAAUUGUGUGCUCCAAGUAUAUAUACGGAUCCUGUGAACUUUUGUUUUUGAAUAAAUGAAUCCUGCGAGCUUGGUAAACACUAGUAACUAUUUAUCCUUUUACUUUAGGGAUAUCGCGCUUCGAUCUGUGUUUUUUUUAUUAGUUUGUCCAAUUCUUGUUUUGUCUUUUAGAACCAAUUUGCCAAUUUCAUAUGUUUUCUAUUUCAGCAAAAUAGAUUGUUUAUUUGAGUAUUUUGUUAAAGACAUAUCAAAUUGAAUCACUCCACCUAAUAAGGUUUCUGUUUAUCAAGUUAGAAUGACCCAUUGCCCUCCCUAUAAUGGUUUAUGGGAAUGUGAUGAUGAUGUGUCUCCAAACUGAAUUUUAAGUUCUUUUUAAGCAGCAAUAUAUAUGAUGUUGUUACAGAAUUUGGUCAGAGUGAAUUGUGAAGUCUGUCACAUAGGAUUAAAAUUCAAUCCACAAGGAACAGAAUUGAAUCUAUUCAUAGUUGUUAAGGUAUCUGAUGAUCCGUUAUCACCAAGACCCUGAUGGUGGAGAAAAAGUGUCACCUGCACAUGUCACAACCACCAAGUUAUUAUCUUAAUUGGCAUGUGGAUGUGGGUAAGGCAAAACAGGACUGUAUAUUGUACAUAAUUAAUCAUACACAGAAAAAGCUGUAUGAUGUAUCGCAGCUAAGCAUCAUAGACUGAGGCACACAUUACACAGUAGAGGACAAGGAUUUCGAUUGGAGAAAGAAACAUAAGCCAAGGAAGCUAUGGAGUUAAAGUUUCUCUUUUGAACAUGUGAAUAGAAGCAUUUGUAAGGUACGUCCGAUUGCACUAUCAAGGGCAGAAGCCAUCAAAGGCCAGGCACACAAUAAGAGAAAACCUUCUAUCGGUGCAAAUCUGAAAUGCUCUCUGUGCACAAUUAUUUUUGAUGUGUGGUGUGCCUGCAACAAGUGUCACGAGAAAGAAUCAACACCUUAUUAUAAUAGGAUGUCUGACAUAAACAGGCUUGGCAGGUUCACUGUUAAGUCUACAGUGGUAUUGGUGCAUAGUCAACAUGAUGUUGGCUAUGUAGGUUCUGAUUGCUCUGGAGAAGACAGGUGCAUCCAUCUUUAGCAGCAAAAUUGGAAAUUCUGCAUCCUCAGUGUCGUGCCACUCGAGAUAAAUUCACUUUUAUUGGUAUUCCAACGGUUUCUAGGUGUUAUUGGUGCAAAAAUGCUUUUGAAUCUCUCGAGCAUAUUCAAUGGGCCGAUUGCAGUGUUGCUAGCUAGGCAUUGCUGGGACUGGAGUGAAGCAUGUUCAAGACGGGAGCUUCCCGACGAAGACCAACUUAUGCUUUGCUGUGAGGGUGCAUCUUUAUGUAACCCAGGUUUGGCUGGUGCUGGUAAUGUAUUAAGGAAUUCGAACAAUUACAUGGCAGACAGAAUUAAUUGCAAUCGUUGCGGGUCUUGAUUGGACUGCAACUUGGAAUGUUGGAAGCAUUAUUAUUGUCUCAGAUUCUGCGAGUAACAUUCAAGCUUUUCGAAGUGGUAACGUGCCUUGGUCGGUUAUGGGAAGAUUGGAGGAAAGCCAAGAUGAAAUUUGGAGAAAUAUCUUUCAAGCACACAUUUCUUUCUCAGCUGAUAUUAUGGCCAAGUUUGCUGCUACCUUUCAACAGGGUGAUAUAGUUUGUUUUGAAGGUAGACCUGAUAAAUUGUAUUUAGUUUCUUAGUAAUCAAUUCUUGUUAGCAAUAAAAAUUUUGACAGCAAAAAAUAAAAGGAUAUCCGAUAUAAGGGGUUUUCCUGCGUUUACACUUGCCACUUGUAAGAUCUU